AGCACAUCGAUUGGGCAAGUAUUAAAAGCAAGCAAGAAAAAGAAAUAUGGUAAUAACAUGAACACCAGUUUCUCAAACUUGACUCUAAACAAGAGUGAGCGAAGCUAACUACCACACCUCCUUGAUGAUUCUCUCACCUCCAACACAACUUCCUUAAAAAAAAUUAUGUCUACCCUAUCAUUUUAAAAAUAUGUUCCACUUUCAGAUAAUUUUGUUACAUCUAUACUAUAUAAUUAAGAAAGUUAAUUGAAUCAUUAAUUCAAAUUGGCACAAAACAAUGAUGAAACAAAUAGUUUUUAAAAUCAAAUAAUGUAUAAACAUAUACAAAUAAUUUAUUCCAAAAAUGUUAUAAAAUAAAUAGUGAAAUUUUAGCUGAGAGAUAACUUAAAAUAUAUAAUAAAACUAAACUUAUUUAUUUGUUUUCAGUAGUUUGGUGAUAUAAAUAAAUUUUUUUUAAAAACAAACCAAACUAUUAAGUUAAAACAGUUUAUUUUUCAAAGUAUAAGAGCAUUAAAAUUUUGGAUUAAAACAAAAAUUUUAAUAUUUUAUAUUUGAUGGAUAUACAAUUUUUUGGAUGAAACAUUUACCAAACAAUAUUAUAUACUAUUACUCCUAUUUUAAAAUAGUCAAUAGAUUUAUAAUUAACACCCGAUCAAAAAAAUAACAGCUGAGAAAUUACAUAAAUGUAAAAUCAAAAAUAAAGUAAAAUUUAUCAGUUCAAAAAAUCACAACGAAAACUCAAAUCCAUCACCAUAUGUUACACAUUACCUUAGACAUUUUAAUUUUUUGAAAAGUAAAAUGGUAUAAAAAAUUCAAAUAUAUAAAGAUGUAAAAUGAGUUUCAAAAAUAAUAAUAAUAAAGAUGUAAAAUAAGUUUAUAAGGUACAAUCCGCGCGUAGCGCGGACAAGAAUUCUAGUUAUAAUAAAAGUUAUUUAAUCGUUAUAAAUAGAUAUUGAAAACAUAAAUAAGCUAUGUGUCUCUGACUCUCUAUCAUAUUUUAAGUUUUGUGAAAACAUUAAAAAGUUAAACAACAAUGGCUAAGAUAUAGUUUAUAACUUUUUGUAUAGAAAAAUUCAAAAGAAAGUGUCUUUAGAAAGUCCUUUGUCAAAAAAAAAAAAAAAGAAAAGAAAGUGUCUUUAGAGACUUAUCUUUUAUAUAAAAGUGAUUGUACUAGUCUUUAGAAACUUAUCUUUUAUAUAAAAGUGAUUGUACUAGUCUUUUAAUUAGCGUUCAACAGAAACUCAAACACACAAAAAAUACUAAGUUAAGAACAACAAAAAAGAAAGAAAGAUCUGGUAGAAACUAUGAAAAAUACGUCACAUAAGUUUUUUUACUUUGUUAGAUAUCUUACCACCAGAUCCAGAACUAAGUAUUAGAUAUCCAGUGUGUUCACUUUGUAUGGUUGACGAGUUUCCGUAUAUAGGGGGUCAACUAGUAAUAUGAAAAUAAGGUCAAAUACAUGGGGUAUGUUUCUUGUAGACGAUGAUAAUGAUUCCAGUCAAUAAAUAAAGCUCAAACAGGAUAGUUGAAUGUGAAAGGACUCAAUUUUGUGUUCAACACGACAAUAACCAAAUGUUGACCCAACUAAACUAGUGACGCCCUAUCGUCUCUUACUCUUAGGCUGCAACCGGAUGCACAUAUUUUGGAAUAGAAUUGUAUGGAAUGAGUUAUUCACGAAGAUUCCAUAAAAAUGUUACCAUUUGAGAUGAAUUAAAAAUAAAAUGCAAGGAAUGGAAUGGAAUAUGUAGAAUGCAAUGGAAUGUACUUGAAAAACAUUCAGCAACAAAAAGUCUCGUGAAUGCAAGGAAUGAAAGGAAUGAAAAAUAAAAUAAGAAUUUUAUAUUAAUUAGAGUUUUUAUUUAAUUUAAAAUAAAUCUAUUUUCAUUCCACUGCAUUCCUGCAAAUAACUACCAUUCAUGUUAAAUAGAUACUUAUAUUUCCAUUCCAUUUAUUUUUAUAAUUGCUACUGUUCCAUUUACUUGUAUUCCAUUUUUUUGAAUUCAUCUUAUUCUUCGUAUUCCUAUAACUUAAAACCAGUUGCAGCCUUAGCCAUUACGUCUUUAACUAUAUUUAGAGGGAAUUUACUCCUUCUGAAUUUGAAAAAUUGAUGUUUUAUGAUUUCCACAUAUAUUAAUAAAAAUUAAUUACAUUUUUUUGUUUUUAGUUUUAUUGCUUUCCAAUAAAAAUUUUCCAUUUAGAUUUUAGUUUUAUUUAUUUCUCGAUAAAAUAUAUAUUCAAAGUUUAAAACAUUAAUUUUUUAAAGAAUACAUUUUAGAUUUUUCUCUCUUUUCUUAUUUUCUCUACCUUCUCUCUAAAUCAAGGUCGCAUCUUCGGUGGCCGGACGUCUUGUGCCACCAGUUACCAAUUUUUUUUUUGUUUUUUUCUUUAUGCUGUAAAAUAACUCUUGGCUAGACGAUUUCAGUUUCCGUGAGCGGAUCUCUCUUUUCGCAAGGCGAUUUUGUGGUGUUUCAACUUAAAUCGGAGCCGUUUCUCACAUCUCUUCACUCUUCUCCGCAUUAAGUUGAAUAAUAAACUUCCGAUCAUAGAGAAUCUUGGAUGAAAGUAGAUCAAGUUUGAUGGAUCUGUUGAGUCUUGUUUGAAGCAGAUUCAGGAGAGUUGGCGCUUUGAAGCGGUCCGACAAAAAGUUUAUUUUCAAUCUGACUCAUAAUUCCUCCAAUCUAAUCUCCGGUGAGCAAAAACUUCUACGUUUAUGUAAUCACGGCUUUGGUGAAAGGCAACUUUGUCAGUGGAGUACAAGAAUUAAGCGCCAACUUCUGCGCUGGUUGGGCUGAGGAAGACAUACCGGCGAUUUGCUCUCAUCGGCGGUGGAUUCAAGGCGGUGUGCACGGGAAGAAAGCCAGUGUGUUGCCACGUUGCAGAAACUAUAUAAUUGGCUUUUACGUUUGGUAUUGUACUCCUCCUUGUUUUAAGGCCAAGUGUUUAGUGAAAAGGUUGACAAAAAACAUUAAUCUUUUAAAUACAAAAAUGAAAUCUAAAACAUCA